rnacentral:rRNA from 1 species
AGAGUUUGAUCCUGGCUCAGAUUGAACGCUGGCGGCAGGCCUAACACAUGCAAGUCGAGCGGUAGCACAGAGAGCUUGCUCUCGGGUGACGAGCGGCGGACGGGUGAGUAAUGUCUGGGAAACUGCCUGAUGGAGGGGGAUAACUACUGGAAACGGUAGCUAAUACCGCAUAACGUCGCAAGACCAAAGUGGGGGACCUUCGGGCCUCAUGCCAUCAGAUGUGCCCAGAUGGGAUUAGCUGGUAGGUGGGGUAACGGCUCACCUAGGCGACGAUCCCUAGCUGGUCUGAGAGGAUGACCAGCCACACUGGAACUGAGACACGGUCCAGACUCCUACGGGAGGCAGCAGUGGGGAAUAUUGCACAAUGGGCGCAAGCCUGAUGCAGCCAUGCCGCGUGUGUGAAGAAGGCCUUCGGGUUGUAAAGCACUUUCAGCGGGGAGGAAGGCGUUAAGGUUAAUAACCUUGGCGAUUGACGUUACCCGCAGAAGAAGCACCGGCUAACUCCGUGCCAGCAGCCGCGGUAAUACGGAGGGUGCAAGCGUUAGUCGGAAUUACUGGGCGUAAAGCGCACGCAGGCGGUCUGUCAAGUCGGAUGUGAAAUCCCCGGGCUCAACCUGGGAACUGCAUUCGAAACUGGCAGGCUAGAGUCUUGUAGAGGGGGGUAGAAUUCCAGGUGUAGCGGUGAAAUGCGUAGAGAUCUGGAGGAAUACCGGUGGCGAAGGCGGCCCCCUGGACAAAGACUGACGCUCAGGUGCGAAAGCGUGGGGAGCAAACAGGAUUAGAUACCCUGGUAGUCCACGCUGUAAACGAUGUCGAUUUGGAGGUUGUGCCCUUGAGGCGUGGCUUCCGGAGCUAACGCGUUAAAUCGACCGCCUGGGGAGUACGGCCGCAAGGUUAAAACUCAAAUGAAUUGACGGGGGCCCGCACAAGCGGUGGAGCAUGUGGUUUAAUUCGAUGCAACGCGAAGAACCUUACCUGGUCUUGACAUCCACAGAACUUUCCAGAGAUGGAUUGGUGCCUUCGGGAACUGUGAGACAGGUGCUGCAUGGCUGUCGUCAGCUCGUGUUGUGAAAUGUUGGGUUAAGUCCCGCAACGAGCGCAACCCUUAUCCUUUGUUGCCAGCGGUCCGGCCGGGAACUCAAAGGAGACUGCCAGUGAUAAACUGGAGGAAGGUGGGGAUGACGUCAAGUCAUCAUGGCCCUUACGACCAGGGCUACACACGUGCUACAAUGGCAUAUACAAAGAGAAGCGACCUCGCGAGAGCAAGCGGACCUCAUAAAGUAUGUCGUAGUCCGGAUUGGGGUCCGCAACUCGACUCCAUGAAGUCGGAAUCGCUAGUAAUCGUAGAUCAGAAUGCUACGGUGAAUACGUUCCCGGGCCUUGUACACACCGCCCGUCACACCAUGGGAGUGGGUUGCAAAAGAAGUAGGUAGCUUAACCUUCGGGAGGGCGCUUACCACUUUGUGAUUCAUGACUGGGGUGAAGUCGUAACAAGGUAGCCGUA